UACGUAGGGUGCGAGCGUUGUCCGGAAUUAUUGGGCGUAAAGAGCUCGUAGGCGGUGUGUCGCGUCGGCCGUGAAAACCUGGGGCUCAACUCUGGGCGUGCGGUCGAUACGGGCAUCACUUGAGUUCGGCAGGGGAGACUGGAAUUCCUGGUGUAGCGGUGAAAUGCGCAGAUAUCAGGAGGAACACCAAUGGCGAAGGCAGCUCGCUGGGACGGUACUGACACUGAGACGCGAAAGCGUGGUGAGCAAACAGG
rnacentral:rRNA from 1 species